rnacentral:rRNA from 1 species
CCUACGGGGUGCAGCAGUGGGGAAUAUUGGACAAUGGGCGAAAGCCUGAUCCAGCCAUGCCGCGUGUGUGAAGAAGGCCUUCGGGUUGUAAAGCACUUUCAGUGGGGAAGAAAGCCUUGGGGCUAAUACCCUCGAGGAAGGACAUCACCCACAGAAGAAGCACCGGCUAACUCCGUGCCAGCAGCCGCGGUAAUACGGAGGGUGCGAGCGUUAAGCGGAAUUACUGGGCGUAAAGCGCGCGUAGGCGGUCUGAUAAGCCGGUUGUGAAAGCCCCGGGCUCAACCUGGGAACGGCAUCCGGAACUGGCAGGCUAGAGUGCAGGAGAGGAAGGUAGAAUUCCCGGUGUAGCGGUGAAAUGCGUAGAGAUCGGGAGGAAUACCAGUGGCGAAGGCGGCCUUCUGGACUGACACUGACGCUGAGGUGCGAAAGCGUGGGUAGCAAACAGGAUUAGAUACCCCAGUAGUC